GGAGGGGUGGCAGAGCGGCUGAAUGCACCGGUCUUGAAAACCGGCGGGCUUACGCCCACGUGGGUUCGAAUCCCACCCCCUCCG
rnacentral:tRNA from 2 species